rnacentral:rRNA from 1 species
CUAGCGACUUCAGAGUUUGAUCCUGGCUCAGGAUUAACGCUGGCGGCGUGCAUAACACAUUCAAGUCGAACGGUGAAGCCCUUCGGGGCGGAUCAGUGGCGGACGGGUGAGUAACGCGUGAGCAACCUGCCCUUGUGUACGGGAUACCAACGGGAAACUGUUGUUAAUACCGUAUGACCCAAUAGUAUGGCAUCAUACAGUUGGCAAAGGUUUACUGCACAAGGAUGGGCUCGCGUCUGAUUAGAUAGUUGGUGGGGUAACGGCCUACCAAGUCGACGAUCAGUAGCCGGACUGAGAGGUUGAACGGCCACAUUGGAACUGAGAUACGGUCCAG